UUUUUCCGCAGCUUUUAGUCUGAUAGGCGUGUUUCUUGAGAUCAGAAAAGAAGGAAUUUCUGCCAGCCUAAAUCCAAUUAGGGGGAGAAAAGAAGAUGGUGUUCCAGGGCUUUGUUAGCUGCCUCCAUUUCUAUCCUUUUGUGGCAUCUUGAGCAAAACCAGAAGCAACAGCUAGUUUCCAGAGUAGCAGCUAAUCUACUACUACUUCUAAAAUUCCUCAUCAAAAUGAGAGAAUGAUACCCUGCCAUUCUCAGCUGCUGUUGUCGUCAGCACUUAGCUAAAGUUUUGAUCUUUAAGGUAUGUAACACCUGUGUGCACACCAAGUCUAACUGUAUUUUCUCCUCUCUCCCUCCCCAUAUGUAUCACUGGAAGAGGCCUGCUGAAGGUGAGUUGACAUUUUAUAAUUGAUAAUGAUUUUUUCUUCAACUUAGUUUAUUUGUUUUGGUUUUGUUUUUUCCAAUGAACAUGAGCAGCAUGGAUUGAAACUGCUUUUCCAAAAGGCAGAGGACAGUGCUAAAGUAUCUGGACAGUGUCUUAAAAAAUGGGUCUAUUUUGUACUUUACAGUCACUAUCAGAGCUUGCAGGAUGCAUCUGAAAUAAAAUGCAUCAAAGCUGCUCAAAAUAUGUUUUCUGGUUUUCCAAAUACAGAAAGUCUGUAAGGCCAAAGUCGCUCAUAAUUGUAAUCAUCACUUUUAGCACUGGAAUUUACCUGCUUUGAAUAAGAAAAUGUUGAAAGAGAGUUUUAUCCUUUACUGCAGUGGAGUUCCUGCAGUGUAGAACAUGUUGAAAGCUAUUCAUAGCCACGCAAUUCAGGAUAGUUCCAGGGCUAUAGAUUUUAUACUGUAUCUAACUUGCUAUCAUUAAAUUACAGAGAACCAGCAAGAAGGGGGAAAUUCUGGACCAAGAGUCCAGGGACAGUCGGAUAUCGCUGUUCCAGCUAGAGUUGAUACAGAUGAGCCAAGACAUAAUGAUACGCCACCUGGUAUCAUCAGAUGUCCGAUUUGCAUGGAUUUCUACUCGGCGAUUGUGCAAAGCAGACGACAUCCUGUGGCAACCAUAUGCGGCCACGUCUUCUGCAACCUGUGUCUUUAUUAUUCCCAUAUGAAUGCCAACACUUGCCCAACCUGGAAAACAGAGCUUGGUGAUGGAGACUAUCAUCACCUAUAUAUAUGAGUUUAUUUAUGUUUUACUGUUCCAAAUAAAAAUAGUUG